rnacentral:rRNA from 1 species
CCCUUAGAUGUUCUGGGCCGCACGCGCGUUACACUGAUGCAUUCAACGAGUUCUUCCUUGGCCGAGAGGCCUGGGCAAUCUUUUGAACGUGCAUCGUGAUAGGGAUAGAUUAUUGCAAUUAUUAAUCUUGAACGAGGAAUUCCUAGUAAACGCAGUUCAUCAAACUGCAUUGAUUACGUCCCUGCCCUUUGUACACACCGCCCGUCGCACCUACCGAUUGAAUGGUCCGGUGAAGCCUCGGGAUUGUGGCUGGUCUCCUUUAUUGGAGGUUGGUUGCGAGAACUUGUCUAAACCUUAUCAUUUAGAGGAAGGUGAAGUCGUAACA